GACGAACGCUGGCGGCGUGCCUAAUACAUGCAAGUCGAACGCAGUGGGGACGGGUGAGUAACACGUUGGUAACCUCCCAUCAGAUGGGAUAACACUUGGAAACAGGUGCUAAACCGAUACUGAUGGAUGAACCCGCGGUGCAUUAGCUAGUUGGUGGGGUAACGGCUCACCAAGGCCACGAUGCAUAGCCGACCUGAGAGGGUGAUCGGCCACACUGGUACUGAGACACGGCCCAGACUCCUACGGGAGGCAGCAUGAGGGAAUCUUCGGCAAUGGACGAAAGUCGGACCGAGCAACGCUGCGCGAGGGAAGAAGGUUUUCCGAUCGUAAGACUCUGUUGUUUGAGAGGCGGUAUCUAACCAGAAAGCCACGGCUAUCUACGUGCGAGCAGCCGCGGUAAUAC
rnacentral:rRNA from 1 species